rnacentral:rRNA from 1 species
AGAGUUUGAUCCUGGCUCAGAUUGAACGCUGGCGGCAGGCCUAACACAUGCAAGUCGAGCGGAUGAAAGGAGCUUGCUCCUGAAUUCAGCGGCGGACGGGUGAGUAAUGCCUAGGAAUCUGCCUGGUAGUGGGGGACAACGUUUCGAAAGGAACGCUAAUACCGCAUACGUCCUACGGGAGAAAGCAGGGGACCUUCGGGCCUUGCGCUAUCAGAUGAGCCUAGGUCGGAUUAGCUAGUUGGUGAGGUAAUGGCUCACCAAGGCGACGAUCCGUAACUGGUCUGAGAGGAUGAUCAGUCACACUGGAACUGAGACACGGUCCAGACUCCUACGGGAGGCAGCAGUGGGGAAUAUUGGACAAUGGGCGAAAGCCUGAUCCAGCCAUGCCGCGUGUGUGAAGAAGGUCUUCGGAUUGUAAAGCACUUUAAGUUGGGAGGAAGG